GACGAACGCUGGCGGCGUGCCUAAUACAUGCAAGUUGAGCGAUGAAGAUUGGUGCUUGCACCAAUUUGGAGAGCAGCGAACGGGUGAGUAACGCGUGGGGAAUCUGCCUUUGAGCGGGGGACAACAUUUGGAAACGAAUGCUAAUACCGCAUAACAACUUUAAACAUAAGUUUUAAGUUUGAAAGAUGCAAUUGCAUCACUCAAAGAUGAUCCCGCGUUGUAUUAGCUAGUUGGUGAGGUAAAGGCUCACCAAGGCGAUGAUACAUAGCCGACCUGAGAGGGUGAUCGGCCACAUUGGGACUGAGACACGGCCCAAACUCCUACGGGAGGCAGCAGUAGGGAAUCUUCGGCAAUGGACGAAAGUCUGACCGAGCAACGCCGCGUGAGUGAAGAAGGUUUUCGGAUCGUAAAACUCUGUUGGUAGAGAAGAACGUUGGUGAGAGUGGAAAGCUCAUCAAGUGACGGUAACUACCCAGAAAGGGACGGCUAACUACGUG
rnacentral:rRNA from 1 species